rnacentral:rRNA from 1 species
UACGAAGGGGGCUAGCGUUGCUCGGAAUCACUGGGCGUAAAGGGUGCGUAGGCGGGUCUUUAAGUCAGGGGUGAAAUCCUGGAGCUCAACUCCAGAACUGCCUUUGAUACUGAAGAUCUUGAGUUCGGGAGAGGUGAGUGGAACUGCGAGUGUAGAGGUGAAAUUCGUAGAUAUUCGCAAGAACACCAGUGGCGAAGGCGGCUCACUGGCCCGAUACUGACACUCAGGUGCGACAGCGUGGGGAGCAAACAGGG